CCUACGGGAGGCAGCAGUGGGGAAUAUUGGACAAUGGGGGAAACCCUGAUCCAGCGACGCCGCGUGAGUGAAGAAGUAUUUCGGUACGUAAAGCUCUAUCAGCAGGAAAGAAAAUGACGGUACCUGACUAAGAAGCCCCGGCUAACUACGUGCCAGCAGCCGCGGUAAUACGUAGGGGGCAAGCGUUAUCCGGAUUUACUGGGUGUAAAGGGAGCGUAGACGGCAGCGCAAGUCUGGAGUGAAAUGCCGGGGCUCAACCCCGGAACUGCUUUGGAAACUGUGAAGCUGGAGUGCAGGAGAGGUAAGCGGAAUUCCUAGUGUAGCGGUGAAAUGCGUAGAUAUCAGGAGGAACACCAGUGGCGAAGGCGGCUUACUGGACUGUAACUGACGUUGAGGCUCGAAGGCGUGGGGAGCAAACAGGAUUAGAUACCCUGGUAGUC
rnacentral:rRNA from 1 species